UUUACAGACACCCCCAGGGCCAUCUGGAGCUCUGGUGGCAGCUGGGGUCCUGGGGAAGGUGAGAGCUCCUUGCCUGUCCGUGGGGGUGGCAUCAUCCUGUGAGGAGCUGGACUGGACCCCUGUGUAGAUACUGGAUCGAUGAGGCCUCAGCAGCUGCCUAGAGAGGAACCCUUUCCUCUCCCAGAUCCCCAUGGAGCAGUGCGGUCUUCCAUUCGUCAACAAUCUCAUUACUGCGUGUUGGGUGCUGUUCUGGGCACUGGGAAUUCAGUAGUGAACAGAAUAAGCAGAGAUCCCUGGCCUGAAGAAGCUGGCAUUCUCUGGGGAAGACAGACACGAU
rnacentral:lncRNA from 10 species